UACGUAGGCAGCGAGCGUUGUUCGGAAUUACUGGGCGUAAAGAGUGUGUAGGCGGUGUUCCCAGUCUGUUGUGAAAUCUCCCGGCUUAACUGGGAGGGUGCAGCGGAAACUAGAAUGCUAGAGGGUGGGAGAGGUAAGCGGAAUUCCUGGUGUAGCGGUGAAAUGCGUAGAUAUCAGGAGGAACACCGAUGGCGAAGGCAGAUCUCUGGGCCGUAACUGACGCUGAGGAGCGAAAGCAUGGGGAGCGAACAGG
rnacentral:rRNA from 1 species